CUAGUGCCUGGUUGCUUUAAACCCACCAAUUAAAGUUCCCUGUGGGAAACCUGUUUGGAUAAUGCCCUGAACCCAAUAAAGCGAAGCUAAAGAUAUAACAUGGUGCCCUCCAGGGAAAGGUGGGACCCACACACUGGCUCACCUGUGACAGAGCAUAGGAGGAAGAUGAGGUCACCAUAUGAGCAGCCUGUUAAUGAGAACUGGACUCCAGCAAGGCAGGAAGAAUCUGCAAAACAUCUGGCUGAGAGAGUCAGAGGGU